rnacentral:lncRNA from 1 species
AGAUUCAAGAAUAGAAGCCUUCUUUUGGCUGCAUAAGAUAUGUAUCUGCUUUUUCAUGAAAACCAUAAUUGUCUCGGGGAACUCAAAUCCAAGCAGCCAUAGGUUCAGAGCUGUAGAUUUCAGGUACCGCAGGUCUUCUGAAGGUGGAGGACAUGCAAUUGCGAUUGCAUCAGAAGAUCCCCACAGAUCUGUUUUGUGUUCAUCCCAAUGUGAAUAAAAUGUUUUCAAUCGGGACUGAAAUGCAUUCAGAUCAAUAGAAUAUCCACUUCCUGCUGCACUGGCCUUUCCAUUGGAUGGUUGUGUACUCCCAUUUCGAUGGUCUGCCAUAGUUUGCUUUCACACUGGGAAAAAAUUAAGACACAGUAACAUCAGUUAGAAGUUGCCAUACAAUUGCUGAUGCAAAAUAGGUUUUAGUUCCUUUUCAGCCACUAGAAAAGUAGGUGUUUAAAGGAACAAGGAGUCCUAGUUAUCUCGAUCCCUUCCAUUGCUGGCUAUAUCUGAAGACUCAAGCAACUAAAAUUUAAAAUCCCAGGAUAUGAGUAAAUAAGCCAUAGAGUUGAAAUAAUUAAUUUUAAAUAUACAUAGAUCUUUGAAGAAUGUAAUAUAACGAUUACAAGUGCCAUCUGCUUCUACUGGGUUAAUAUAAACAAUGUGAAGAAACCAACAGCAUAAAAUCAAUAUAGAUGAUGAGGCAGAAUAAAUAAAACUAGCCACUGGAAAAUAUCAUAAAGAAUGGAAGCAAAUCAUGACAAAAAGGUAUUAUCAUUUCCCAAACAUGCACACUUUUGGAAAUAGCAACAAGCUGGAUAAUGUAGAUCUAAGCACCAUUUGAAACAUUGGAAUGUGAUAGCCAAAGAAUAACCAGAGUAUGAUAGCAACAAAAGAAGUUAGAAGAAGUCUAUCGAAAUCAUAAUCAUAUAGCAACUGAACUCCAAUUACAUUAUGCUCACAAAUAAUGUAUGAACAACCAUGGUUUUUUGCUUUUAUAAGCUUUCACUACAGCAACAGAUGCAACUAGAAAGAAAAAUAAUCGAGUAAGAUAAUAGCCAUAUAAUGAGACUCGACUCGAGCAAUGUUCAAUGAGCACAAUAAAGACUACCGAGCCUUCAUAUAACAGAAAAAUAGAGCACAAAAACAAUCUUAAUCUCAACAUCAGCUAACAAGCACAAACCCACAAAUAAGACAGUUGAAAUCAAUAAUAAGUAACUAAGUAUAACCCUUAAAUCCAGAAAGUUCGGGAACAAUGAAAGUAGCACGCAUAAAAUUGUCUCAGAUAUAACAUGAGCAAUAGCAUGUCAACAUUUACUUAAAACAAAUGAAAAUACAUAACAUAUGAAAGGGUGUAGCUUCAUUGGUUCUACAAUUUUGUAGCUCAAACUCAGUAUAAUAUCUACGGCCAUGUCAUUUUUGUUUUCAUGCUGUAUAUAUGAAGCAAAUCAGUAGAACAAGCUGGACUAAUACCCAAUAUUAGGCUCAAUCAUGCCAAAAGAACAUCUCAAUGUAACAAAUAAGAAAAUAGACCAACUGAGCAUUAACACAAACACGUAGAUUGCAAGUGCUUCGAGAAAAAAUAAACCACAAAUAUUUUUCAUCAAGAAUCUGAGCAAACAAGGCUUGACAAUAACAAGCAUAGUUCUGUUACAGUAAAAAACACGAUUCAAAGUAUAGUUCUAAGAAGAAAAAUCGAUAAAAAAAAGUGCUACGAUGAAUUGUCGAGACUUACGUAUAACUGCAAGAUGAAGAAAUCACAAAUUUUACUUAUUAACCCAAUAAUAACUCCAAGUAAUACAAAUUUUCAGUAGAGAAAAAACAAAGCAAAUCGUGCAAAAAAUGGCUCGCGCUUUCUACGAAGAAAUUAGAACUUCGUGGUUCUAAAACUACAGUGGAAGAAUGAAAGGCAAAAAAUAUACACAAAAACUGUAAAGAUCGUUACCUUUUCCGACACUUUGCCUCUUGUCUGCGGUGAGCGAAAACUCUUCGUACUUUUUGUUUUUCUUCAAUUUGGGGAUUCAAGAACCCGAAUAGGGGGCAAUGAAACUAUGUAGGGUUUGAAUAUCAUUCCAAUGCGCGCGCACAAACAUAUAUAUACUCUGUUCGGUGGGUCGGAGGGGAAACAGAGCAUCCACCAAAGAAUGCGAAGGAGAAGAGAGAAAAUCGAAAGGAGGGAAAUUAGGGUUCAUAUGGGAAGAAUAAUUAUAUUAUCAUAGAAAGUUGAGUUCCGCACAUCAGAGUAACAAAAAUGACAGUGAGAAAAUAUUUAAAAGAUAAUUUUGUACAAAAAUAUUACUUUAACACUCUUACAAAAAGUACUCCUACCAAACAACUAAUUUUAAAUUAAAAAUAAAUAAAUGUUUUUUAUCUUUUAGUGAUGUUAAAAUAAUGUAUUUUAUUUUUUAGUGGUGUCAAAUUAUUACCAUCUAAUUUUAUAUUUCAUAACAUUUUUAAUAAUAUACUACAGGAACACAAGCACGUGUAUCCGCAUUUCUUAUUUUUUCAUUUAUGUAUAUUUAUAUUUAAUAUUAAAAUUUGAAUAAAUAAUAUUAUUAUUUGCACAUUUAUCUUAACAAUAUAAGUUUAUAGUAUAUUAUAAAUAAAAAAUGACAUUAUCAUUAUUAUGUAAAAUUAUUAUAUUUUGUGUGAAUUGGCUUAACCAGUAAUUGAUCAUCAUUCUAAGUGUUUUAUUCUUUACAAAUUUUAUUUCCUAAGAAUGUCACACACAUUAACCACUUUUGCAAUUCAAAACCGUUCAUCUUCUCCGGUAUUUCCACUAAUAUUUUUCUUUCUCUCAAAUUUGAAGAGACAUUCUUCUUUCUAUGCAACUCUUUGAAAAGUAACCACUUUUUCAAUCCAAAACCAUCUCCAACCUCUAUUUCAAUUUAAAAUUGUUCCUCCACAUAUAUUACAUAUUUUAGAGAAAGUAAGAAAUGACAACAAUGUCCAUAAUAUAAUCAAAUAUUUAUAUAAGGAUAAAAUAGGGAAAAAAUUAAGAGCUGUUAAAGAGAAGAAUCCCUUUAUAUAUAGGUAUAUAUAUAUUUAAUUAAAUAUGUUUAAAAUAAUUAAAUAAUUAUAUUUUUUAUCACAAUAAAUCAAAUGUAAUAUUAUUUUAAUAAUGUGAUUCUUAAUGAGUAAAGAAAUUGAAGUUAUUAAUUUAUAAAAUAAACUAAACAUCUCUAUUGGAAAAAAUAAAAUAAAAUGUAUACAUUAAAGAAAUAUGAAAAACAAAAUAAGAUAAAUAAAAGAGAUGAAAUAUGAAGAAAAUUAGCAAUACACAUUUCAGAAUCUAAAGAGGAACAGUAGUACACUGUUUCAGAAUCUCAAAAUUAGAAUUUUGAGGAGGCGGGAGGCAUAGUGGCAGCCAAGGAAGACUGUGUGCGCUUGCAUUUAGAUGUUGGAAGGGUCAACAAUGAAGGCGUUUGCUCACGCUGAGCAUCACAGCUUGAAACUUCUCGAUUUCUUCUUCUCUAUCUCCUUCUUCCUCUUGUGCUUGAGAAAUAUGAAAGAAAACACACCAAAAUUGAAUUUGUUGAAAGAAUACCAAAAUUGAAUUUGCGCGAGACUCUGUAGAAAGAAUAUCAAAUAACAUCAAACAAUAGUUUGUAAGAUGUUUCUAUAUUCUUCCUCUCUCAUAGUUUUCUUAUAUAUAAUUUUUUUUGCCUAAAAAAAGUAACCGUGCAUAAACCCACGUUUCACCCAUCUCUCUCCACUCUUCUCUAAUAAAAGUAUCAAUCUCUCCACCAUCAUGCCCAUUAAGUGAGAACAAAUAAAAUAAAAUUUUAAAAUUAAAAAUUGCUUAUUUAAUAAAGAAGAAUAUUAGUUUUAAAACAGAAAAGUAACCAAUUUCUCCACUCACCUGCCAUGAGAACAAAUAAAAUAAAAUUAAAAAAUGCUUAUUUAAUAAAGAAGAAUAUUAGUUUAAAACAGAAAAGUAACCCAUUUCUCUCCACUUUCCUGUCAGUUAAGUAGUGAGAACAAAUAAAAUAAAAUUAAAAAACUGUUUUAUUAACUUCUAAAAUUAUAAAAUGUUUAAAUAACCAAAAUAAAUUGAUAAAACAAAAUAUUAAGUAAAGAUAAAAUAGGAAAACAAUUUAGAGCAGUUAAAGUGGAAAAUCCAAAAUGUCCAAAUAACCAAAAUAAAUUGAUAAAACAAAAUAUUAAGCAAGGAUAAAGUAGGAAAACAAUUUUUAGCAAUUAAAGUGGGGAAUCCCCUUUAUAUAUAGGUAUAGAUAUAGUAAAUUUAAAAAUUAUAUUUUUAUAACUAAAUAAAUAAUAUAUAAUAUAAUAUUUAUGUUUAAGUUUCGACUAUAUAAAAAAUAAUAAUUUUUAACGAGUUUCUUUAUUAAAAAAUAAUAGAUUUUUACCUUGGUAUGUUUUAAAGGAAAAUUUCAAUAUUAUGGUGAGAAAACAUAUCCAUUUUGAAAUGUCUAUUUUUUUUAUGGAGAAAAAAAAAACAUAUUGAUAGACUAGCCCGUGUUAUAUAUAGGAUGAAUUAACCUACUUUUAUGUUAACAUAUCUACUUACUAAUGUUUAUACAUAUAUACACACUUGAUUUUGAUUAAUAUUUUUGAAUUCUUUAAUUUAUCAUUACAAAAAAAAAUUAAGAGAUUGUGAAAACUUUCAUUAAUACACAUACUUAAUUGGGGAUUUUGAAACCCCAAGUCUUUACACUUUUACUAAUGUAAUAUUUUUCUUUCAUUCCUUGUUUUUUAUUUUCCCGUAUUUUGUUCUUUUGUGAGACACGCUCCUUUUCAUAUAUUAUUUUUUAUAGAUUAAAACUUUCUCAACCUUAAAAAAUCAUGUUCAGCUCUCUCACGUUUUUUACACAUCCCUCAUAUUUAACUUCUCCCCCGUUCUUUCCUCUGAAUUGAAGCUUCAUUUCUCACUAUGUUUUCGCCCUAGAAAAUCAUCUUCAAUUUCUCUAUUUUUCCCUAAAUUGAAGCUUCAUUUCUCACUAUGUUUUCACCCUAGAAAAUCAUCUUCAAUUUCUUUAUUUUUCCCUAAAUUGAAGCUUCAUUUUUCACUAUUUUUUCGCCCUAGAAAAUCAUCUUCAACUUCUUCGUCCUUCCCUAAAUUGAAGUUUCAUUUUUCACUCUGUUUUCGCCCUAAAAAAUCAUCUUCAACUUCUUUGUUCUUCCCUCUGUAUUGAAACUUCAUUUUUCACUCUGUUUUUGUUAUAUUUGAUAUUCGUGUUCGUUUUUCUCUAUUUGAUUUCUCAAAUUUGGUUUUCACUUUCUACAUUUCUCAUUUCUAGAACUGCAGUGUAUUUUGCACGUUCGUGCCUCAGGUUUCUACUCAAGUACCGAAUACCAACUCUUAGAACAUUAGUCUCAAGAACGUUCUUCUCUCAUUGUAGUAAUUUUUAGUUUUUUUAGUGGAUGAUAGUAUUCUUAAUGAAUAAAAGGAGAUAAUUACUAUUUUUAUAUGUUAAAUUAUUUUAUAAAAAUAAUAAUUGAAAUUUAAUAUGUAAAGAUUGAUAGUUUAAAUAAUAAUAAUAAUAAUAAUAGUAAUAUUUUUAUUCUUGAACAGUACAACAUAAAAUUUGUAAUAAUUUUUAUUAUAUUUCAAUUUAUAUUAAUUUUAUAAAUCAAUUUUAUUAUUUAUACAUAUAAUAUUAAAUUCAAUAAAAAAAAGUUUGACUAGUGUGUUGAAAAUGAGAGAACAAUCCACCCUGCCACUCAUAAAUUUAUUAGAAUUUUUUUUAUUAAAAAAUGUACUAUUUCCUCAAACAAAUAUAUUUUUUGUUGACCCGCAUAUUAAACAUAUAUCAUUUGGUUCAAAUUAACUAUAUACUAAACUGAUUUGCCAAAUUUUUUUCACUGAAUUAGUCGUUUAUUCCAAUUUUCAAAACUAAUAUAUGCUUUAAAAGGGAAAAAAUAAUUUCACAUAUUUUAAUUUCAUAUACAAUAGUUUUAUUUAUUUAUUGUAUUCAUUGUGUAUUUUGUAAGUCAUGUUUAUUAGUGAUUUUUUAAUCAUGUUUACAUCAAAUUAUUUAUUUUUAUUGAUUAACAAUAUAAAUUUAUAUAUAGGGGAAUGAGGAAGAUAAUAUUCAUUAAAAUUUAUAAAACUCUUCUAUCUCGUAUAUGUUUAUAUAUAAAUCUAAAAUCUAUUUUUAAGGUUUUUUUAUAUAUCUAAGAUUCUUAUCUUGUUCCUCAACAUUUUAAGAUCAAAUCUCAUCUUUUCUUUUUUUAGUUCAUUAUUUUUCAUAUCUAUAACAUGCACAUAUUUUUUUAAUCAUUUUUAAGAUCAAACUCUACUUUGCAGUAAUUAUCAAAAUUAGGGUAUUUUAUACUCUAUCAAAAUCUAAAUUAGAGUGUUUUAUUGCUUUAAAAGUCUUUUGAUUUUUCCUUUUGUUUAUGUUAAAACUUUAUCAUGGAGUAGUUAGUUGGGAAAAAUGACUCUAAUUUCAACUAGUUUAAUCAUUGUCUGAAGUUUUUUUUUUUAUAAUUGUAUUGUUUAAUAUGUUCAUUGAUGUACAACCUUAAGGAUCUGACAUUUUUUUAGAUGAUUUUGAAAAUGUUGAAUAAUUAUUUUUGUAUUGAUUUGAUGGAAAAAGUUGCAUGUUAACAUAGGUUAAUAGCAUUUCUCUGAAUAUCAAUAAAUUAUAAAAGUUAAGCUCUUUGAAUAUCCUUUUGGAUCUCUACUAACUUUCAAGAUGCUAAACCCGUGUGGGUUGCUCUCUUUAGAUAUGCCUCUAAUGAUCUUCUUUAUACCAUAAUUUUUUGGCAUCUUCAAAAUAAGUGUUGCAUCAACACCUUACGUAUAUAUUUUCUUGCCACCAUUUUCACAAUAACACCCAUCCAUCUAAACGUUAUUCACUUUAUUCUCAUUUUAUGCUUUUAAAAUCCAACAAUCCCUGUCAUAAAAAACUAAUUAGCUAAUUGCUUUGCAAUCUUAAAAAAACCUCAAUGCAUUUCAUUUUCUAUGCAUUUCAUAAAUAUCUAAUCUUUUUAAUAAAAUUGAGACCCAUAUACUUUACCUUGCUCCAACACAAUAUUAACCAAACAUGACCAGAUAUAAAACAUUAUACGAGGUUGGUUUGGAUACGGUGGUAUGUAUAACUGGUUCAUUCACGGUUGUUCAGUUGCCUGAUCGCUACAGAAAAAAGUUAAAUUUAACAAUAAGGAACAAAAUUAGAAAGGCAUUGAGGACUUCAAUUGAAUUCAAGGAUUGCAAUCGAGUAGCUGAACUAUAACUUGGAAGAAAAAUAUUUAGUUACAAUGAUAAGGCAGCUCCAAGUCCAAACACAAGCUGCUAUGCUAACCGAAGCAACGGCGUAAAACAAACUGAACUAAACCUUAAACCGGCUAACAACAAAACCCAAGAAUCUAUCUUAACUUAGCCCGCUUUGGCAUGCUACUGCUUAGACUAGUUCCUCUUGACUUACCGAAGCUUUUUGCCUUUCUUCUUUUUCUAUCUUCUUCGCUGUCAGACUCAUUUCCUUUUUCCCUGUCUGCAUUGCUCGCUUCCCUCUCCAGUUCCUCCCACGUCUUUCCCUUCUCUUCCUCUGAGUCAUCCUCAGAAUCCUCAUCUUCGUCAUCAUCCUCAGACUCAACAAGUGAUUCACUGUCAGAGGCUUCAUCCUCAGAAUCAGAUUCGGGUUCAACAUCAGAAGGUUCAUAACCUUUGUCUGACUCCUCUGAGUUCUCAGAUUCCGAAUCAGUGGCCUCCAAAUUCAGAAACUCCCAACCACCUCCUUCAAUAAAGCUCUGAGGGUCAUCCGUGAUUNNNNNNNNNNNNNNNNNNNNNNNNNNNNNNNNNNNNNNNNNNNNNNNNNNNNNNNNNNNNNNNNNNNNNNNNNNNNNNNNNNNNNNNNNNNNNNNNNNNNNNNNNNNNNNNNNNNNNNNNNNNNNNNNNNNNNNNNNNNNNNNNNNNNNNNNNNNNNNNNNNNNNNNNNNCCCAAGCCCAACUCUCUCAAGAUUCACAAUCUCAAUCUCACCUAGCGUGACAACGAGGAAAGGGGUCUCUAUAAGUUCAACAAGGCAGGCUGAAGUCGGAACAAUAAACACUGAAGAUUUAUGAGGAACCCCAGGGAAGCCAAGCUCCCUAAGAGGUUGAUCAAACUCCAAUUCAAGCCCAUUGAAUUGGGCCUGACCCCAGAGAUCAUUCACCCUAUUCACAAAGGUUUGGAAUUCUACAUUUAUCUUGUUCUUCCUAUCUCGCUCUCGUUGUUCUUCUUCAAGCUCAUCAGGGUCAUAGGCUGAUCUCUUACCACCUCCAACAUUCUGGACCAUGUCCAUAACCUCAACAUAAAACUGAACAUCCUUGGUCUUCUUAUUUCCUACCAUAAUAUGGUUGUGCAGAUGGAAGUGCAGGAGCGUGAUCAUCUCAUUCUCUGCUGGCUGGAAAAAUGCAUGCUUAAUGUUGCCGAACAGUAUGUCUCCACGCUCAUCUUGCCUGGUGGUAGAAUAACGAAAUCCAUUCACAUGAGCCUCAAGCGUACCAGGUAUCUUCCUUCCACGACCACCAAAAGCAGGACGGAUCCAGAGAUCAGACAACCGUAUUGGCUUGAAUCUAUUAUUAGCAAGUUGCAGUUUCUCCUGAGUAACCAGGGUUGCCCUCUCUGCUCUCUCAGACUCCCUUGCUACAACUUGUCGCCUGAGGGUUUUAAUUGACUGCACAACCUCACUAAUGUGCCUUGAGUCCUUCGAGCGGAAUGAAGCCUCCUUUAAAUAUAUAGAUCCAGGGAACUUCAUUGAGUUUGCAUCAUGAGGACUGAAAGGGGUGCCAGGGACAUUAAAAAUAAUUCUGACAUAGCAGUUGCGGUUAGUGUCCUGCUGGCUCGAAACAGUUCUAAUGAAAGCCACAUGAAAAGGCACCAUGCUUCCAUUUAUAGGCAAGAGAACUGCUUCAUUCUUCUGAUCAAUCUGAAUCAUCAUUUCUCUGGGAGGGGGAAGGUCAUUNNNNNNNNNNNNNNNNNNNNNNNNNNNNNNNNNNNNNNNNNNNNNNNNNNNNNNNNNNNNNNNNNNNNNNNNNNNNNNNNNNNNNNNNNNNNNNNNNNNNNNNNNNNNNNGAGCAAGUUCUGCCUGGUGCUGCCUUCGAAGCUCCUCCUUUGAAAUCUCAUGAUUGUCUGACCUUAGAGUUGUCUUAGUAAAGGGCUCCGCUCCCUUGGCAUCCACUUUUGUCCUUGGCCUUUCCUCUUCCUCAUCCUCAUUGAAAGAGUAUGCUACAUCCUUGAGUGCUUUUGAACUCAUAGAAGUCACAACUUCUGUCUUAUCUUUGUUGAUGAUGACUGUGUCAGCAAGCAACAGGGAGAAAUGCCUGUUCUUGGGCUUACUUUUCUCACUUUGCAAAUUCUGAAAACCAAUUGACACAUUAAAGACCAUGCCUUCUCGAAUUAUCUGUUCAUUUUUUGCAUUCAGAUUCAAUCCUGAUUCACGAAACUCAAUGCCGAUGCCUGUCCCAGCAGAUUUUGUCAAAUAUGAAACCAAGUCCGGAGCAUCCCUUUCCACAACAGAGACUGCAGCUUGGUACGCCACACUUAACUUGUUUCCUGGCUUCAUAGAGCCUAUGACAGCUUCAUGGGCUUUCAGAAGAACCCCAUAUGCUCUACUUUGAAGAGGUUCUGCAUCAAUCAAGAAGGUCCUAGCUAUGUUUGAGCAAUAACUCUUAUAUCGGGCUCCAACUGCACAUAUAAUCACACUGGCUGAAUCGUAAUGCAGUAACUCAUCAUUGCUGACAGCACUUGGUCUGAGAUCAAACUCUCCACCACUCUGAAAAAUUGGUGGGUAACAAAUAUCAACAUUAUCUGCCUUUAGCUUACAAUUGACUUUUGAAGGUUCCAGAAUAACUUUCUCAGUCUCCUCCAUCAAUGUUGAAUGAGAGACUUUCUUCUCCUCAUCGAUUACAUUCUCAAGUUUUGUAACCACAAAGUUUUUCAUCACACUGGUUGUCAGGUAAGCUGCUCUCUUAAUUGAUGUGAGUUCCUCAUUACUCUUUGCUGCAAAUAAAGAAGACAAACCAGUGGCAACAUCAAUGAGAUUAAAUUUAGUAUUUUUUAAUUUUUCAGUCCAUGUUUCAAGCAGUUUCCCUUCAGGGGCCUCUCUUGAUAUGUAUCCAACAGUGGCAGAAUCGUGGUCAUCAGACUUUGGCUGAGCACGGAUGGAACGGAAUAUAGCAUCCAUGAGAGCAGUGCCAUCAUCGUUUUUAGGUUUGACAUGUAGAACAAGAUCUGCCCCAACAGCCUCUCUGGCAGAUUUUUUGACAGAUUCAAGAAUAGAAGCCUUUUUUUGGCUGCAUAAGAUAUGUAUCUGCUUCUUCAUGAAAACCAUAAUUGUCUCGGGGAACUCAAAUCCAAGCAGCCACAAGUUCAGAGCAGUAGAUUUCAGGUACCGCAGAUCUUCCGAAGGUGGAGGACAUGCAAUUGCUAUUGCAUCAGAAGAGCCCCACAGAUCUGUUUUGUGUUCAUCCCAAUGAGAAUAAAAAGUUUUCAAUCGGGAUUGAAAUGCAUUCAGAUCAAUAGAAUAUCCACUUCCUGCUGCACUC